rnacentral:rRNA from 1 species
GAUGAACGCUGACAGAAUGCUUAACACAUGCAAGUCUACUUGAACUUCGGUUUGGGUGGCGGACGGGUGAGUAACGCGUAAAGAACUUGCCUCACAGAUAGGGACAACAUUUGGAAACGAAUGCUAAUACCUGAUAUUAUGAUUUUAGGGCAUCCUAGAAUUAUGAAAGCUAUAUGCACUGUGAGAGAGCUUUGCGUCCCAUUAGCUAGUUGGAGAGGUAACGGCUCACCAAGGCGAUGAUGGGUAGCCGGCCUGAGAGGGUGAUCGGCCACAAGGGGACUGAGACACGGCCCUUACUCCUACGGGAGGCAGCAGUGGGGAAUAUUAGACAAUGGACCAAGAGUCUGAUCCAGCGAUUCUGUGUGCACGAUGAAGUUUUUCGGAAUGUAAAGUGCUUUCAGUUGGGAAGAAAAAAAUGACGGUACCAACAGAAGAAGUGACGGCUAAAUACGUG